CCCUUAGAUGUCCUGGGCCGCACGCGCGCUACACUGACACGAGCAGCGAGCUUCUUCCUGUUCCGAAAGGAUUGGGGAAUCUUGUAAAUCGUGUCGUGUCGGGGAUCGAUUAUUGUAAUUAUUAGUCGUGAACAAGGAAUUCCUAGUAAGCGCAAGUCACUAGCUUGCGCUGAUUACGUCCCUGCCCUUUGUACACACCGCCCGUCGUUCCUACCGAUUGAAUGAUCCGGUGAACCCCUCGGAUUGGUCAGACCAGUUGGCGGGGCAACUCGUCAGCUUCUGGCCGAGAAGUUGGGUAAACCUUAUCAUUUAGAGGAAGGAGAAGUCGUAACA
rnacentral:rRNA from 1 species